rnacentral:tRNA from 1 species
UGGGGCGUAGCCAAGCGGCAAGGCAGGGGACUUUGGAUCCUCCAUCGCUGGUUCGAAUCCAGCCGCCCCAA